AUUUCUACUUUAACAAUAGUUCUGAUCUUUGAGUAAAAUUGGUAAGUGCUAUUUGUUGGGGUAGUUUUA
rfam:Astyanax mexicanus Tnplaced_Scaffold3221, whole genome shotgun sequence.